rnacentral:rRNA from 1 species
GAUGAACGCUGGCGGCGUGCCUAAUACAUGCAAGUCGAACGCUUCACUUCGGUGAAGAGUGGCGAACGGGUGAGUAAUACAUAAGUAACCUGGCAUCUACAGGGGGAUAACUGAUGGAAACGUCAGCUAAGACCGCAUAGGUGUAGAGAUCGCAUGAACUCUAUAUGAAAAGUGCUACGGGACUGGUAGAUGAUGGACUUAUGGCGCAUUAGCUUGUUGGUAGGGUAACGGCCUACCAAGGCGACGAUGCGUAGCCGACCUGAGAGGGUGACCGGCCACACUGGGACUGAGACACGGCCCAGACUCCUACGGGAGGCAGCAUUAGGGAAUUUUCGGCAAUGGGGGAAACCCUGACCGAGCAACGCCGCGUGAAGGAAGAAGUAAUUCGUUAUGUAAACUUCUGUCAUAGAGGAAGAACGGUGGAUAUAGGGAAUGAUAUCCAAGUGACGGUACUCUAUAAGAAAGCCACGGCUAACUACGUG